CACAGCUUGAGGGGGCAGAGGCAGGGCAGAAGCGGGCUUGCUCUUACAGGCUUGAAUCUCUGUGUUCUGUCCUGAUGCUGUGCCAACCCCUACUCCGGGGGGCCCUGCCUCUUCCUGCGGCCACAGAACUACCUUCCUUUCCACUGACCACAGGAGCCAUUCAAUUCUUGGCCUCCUCCUGAUAUCGUUCUGAGGCUUUGCGAGCUCUGGGCAACGGAAGAAAGAUCCAGUGUUAACAUCUGUGUGGUAAUUUUCCAUGACUAUCUCAGAUGGCCGAAGACAUGACUGCUAUUUUCUGGAUCACGACAUCUUUCAGGCUUCAGACUGACCCCUCUGGACAAACAGGGCUUAGGUCCUCUCCAGGUGCUUGUAUGCUGCUUCUCACAUGGGAACAGUGCUCACCACCCCGGGAGGAACUUACAGACAGUGAAGCUGGAUUCCAGGGACGCGAGAUCCUUCUGCCCAAUGUUUCCACCAUGCGGUUGGUCACCCAGUUGGGACCAGAACAGAGGAACUUGGACCAAAAGGACAUCAUAAUGCUUGGAAGAAUCAGAGAAAGCUUCUAGAAGGAGCUGUAUUCAGGCUGGGACAAAGGUGACGCAUGCAUGGCUAGUUUCUAAAUUUACAAUAAUCCUCUAUGAUUAGGGAUUUUUUUUUUUUCUGGUCUGUGUUAAGGAAUAUUUUCCUACCUUAAAAUCAUACAGACAGUUUCAAGGGACAAAGGUAGUACUUUCUGUUAUCUUAUAAAACCUCUAUAGUUUUGUCUUCUAUGUUUAGGUUUAUAAUAUAUCUGGAGUUAAUUUUUGUGCAGAGUGUAGCAUUCCAUAAUUCUAAAAGAUACAUGCACCUCAAUAUUCAUUGUAGCACUGUUUAUGAUAGCCAAAACAUGGAAGCAACCUAAAUGUCCAUCAACAGAGGAAUGGAUAAAGAAGAUGUAGUGUGUAUAUACACAAUGGAAUAUUACUCAGCCAUGAAAAGAAUGAAAUCAUGCCACAUGCCAACAUGGAUGGACCUAGAGGAGAUCAUACUGAUUGAACUCAGGUAGUGAAAGAUACACAUCACAUGAUAUCACUUAUAUGUGGAAUCUAAAAAAAGGAUACAAAUGAACUUAUUUGCAGGAUAGAAACAGACACAGAUUUUGAAAACAAAUUUAUGGUUAUCAAAGGGGACAGGUUAGGGGGAAGGACUGGGGAUUUGAGAUUGUCAUAUGCACACUAAGGUUUAUGGAAUGAUUGGCCAAAGGUGACAUGCUGUUUGGCACAGAGAACUCUCCCUAAUAUUCUGUGAUCAUCUAUGUGGGAAAGGAAUCUGAAAGAGAACGGAUGUGUGUACAUGUAUAACUGACUCACUUUUUUUGUAUAGCAGAAAUUAUCACAACAUUGUAAAUCAACUCUACUUCAAUAAAACUUUAAAGAUG
rnacentral:lncRNA from 1 species